rnacentral:rRNA from 1 species
AGAUCGAACUAUAGAGUUUGAUCCUGGCUCAGAUUGAACGCUGGCGGCAUGCCUUACACAUGCAAGUCGAACGGCAGCGCGGGAGCAAUCCUGGCG